GGUUAAGCGACUAAGCGUACACGGUGGAUGCCCUGGCAGUCAGAGGCGAUGAAGGACGUGCUAAUCUGCGAUAAGCGUCGGUGAGGUGAUAUGAACCGUUAUAACCGGCGAUUUCCGAAUGGGGAAACCCAGUGUGUUUCGACACAC
rnacentral:rRNA from 1 species